GCCAGGUGCAGUGGUGCUAGUCCCAGCUACUCUGGAGGCUGAGGUGGGAGGAUCGCUUGAGCUCAGGAGUUCUGGGCUUUAGUGUGCUAUGCCGAUUGGGUGUCCGCACUAAGUUUGGCAUCAAUAUGGUGACCUCCCGGGAGCAGGGGGCCACCAGGUUGCCUAAGGAGGGGUGAAUCGCCCCAGGUCUGGCCCAGGUCGGAAAUGGAGCUGAUCAAAACCCCCGUGCUGAUCAGUAGUGGUAUCGCGCCUGUGAAUAGCCACUGCACUCCAGCCUGGGCAACAUAGUGAAACCCCAUCUCU
rnacentral:SRP_RNA from 1 species